AGACUUUUUCCAGAUCUUUGAUUUAUUGCAGUUAUCACUCCCAAUCUUUUCAAACGUUGUAGGUGAGGUCUUUUGGACGAUUUUCAUCCACAAUUCCGUUAGUUGACCAGAAAUUUAACUUUAACCAUAUUUUUAAUAUUUUAAGAAUGGGUAAAAGAAUAACUUUCUAUUUAUAAAAUGAUUACAUUUAUAAAAUUAAAAAUAAGAAAAAACAAAACAACCCUCUUCUUCCUCUCAUCCCCCACCCCGCACCCCUACCUCAAAUCCUUAGCCAACCGAAAAUGCAGAACACAACAAUUGCAUUCUCCCCUUCCUUUUUCUCUCUACGAAGUCUCAAAAGGCCACCUCUCUCUACAGAUUCAAUCUCAUUUCUCUCACCCCGUCGAAACAGCUCUAUUUAAAGAAUCGUCGGGUGUCAGGCUCAUACUUCUUCUAGUCGUAAAGUGGGUUUAAUUAUCUGUUCUUUGAGACCCAAUGGGUGGAUUUCGAACCAAAAGAGCAGAAUUCUUUCAUUCUGAUUGGUAAUGGCAUCAUCAUCGAUUGCGAAUCCUAAAGCAAACUCAAAUCCAUUGUUGAAAAAGAGAAGAAAAAUCGGGGUGGAAACUCGGGCUCAAAUUCAUUCUAAGGAGAUGAGAUGAAGAUGGAAGACAUAGGCGAAGCAACAGAUCUACUCGUCGAAGCUUUUAAAUGCCCUCUACAAUCUUCAUGCACCUUGUUUCCACCACAGCAUUCGGGUAACUCUGCUAAGGCCGGACUCGAUGGAGCAGGGUAAUUCUCAUCGGUUGACUCAAUCGAUGACUCGCUUAGUUCAACAGGAAAAUUAUCUGUUCUUUGAGACCCAAUGGGUGCAAAGGCAUUAGCUCUUUGAGAAGCUCUUCGGUUUGCCCAGAGUUCGGAUCUUCUCAUGGCUAAGGUGGAAUGUGGUGGAGGUUGUUCAGUGGUGAUUGUGAUGGGGUGAAUGGUGGUAGUCGGUGGCAGGAGGUUGGUGGAGGUGGCGAAUGUCGAGUUACUGAGGGUUUGACGUGGGGUGGGGGAUGAGAGCAAGAAGAUGAUUGUUUUUUUUUUUCUUAUUUUUUAAUUUAAUAAAAUGUAAUUAUUUGAUAUGAUAAAUGAAAAGUUACUCUCGUGUCCCUUUUUAAAAUAUUAAAAAUGUGGUCGAAGAUAAAUUUCUUGUCAAUCGACGGAAUUAUAGAUGGAAACAUUCAAAAGGCUCUCAUCUACAACGUUUAGAAAGGUUAUGGACGACAGCUGCAAUAAAUCAAAGGUUCAAAAAUAGUUUGCUAGUGUUUCAAAAGUUUGGAACUUUUACUGUAAUUAUCCCUUUCGAAAAUUAUGGCAAAAUUUUAGACUCUAUGAUUUAGCUCCUAUUUGAAUCUCAUUAAUUUCCUUUCCAUUACAUUUAAUUUUUCUCCCUCUUAUUUUUAAAAACACAAUUUUUCAUAAAAUAAUAUUACACGUAAAUCGAAAAUUUUUCAUUCUUUUUCAAAAACUCAUUUUUCAAAAAAUAUUAUUCAACCCAUUUUCGUUUUCAAAAAAGGAGGCUUAAGAUGUAAUGAAGACGGCAAAGGGAAGGAGAGCAAGCCUUGGCUCUAGCUUAGCCCAACCCCCUAUAUAUCAAUUCAGUAGAAAUGUUUUUCUUUAUCUAUCUUGACUCUACCCUUAAGAAAGGGUCAAUCAUGCUCUUUCAAUCGUUAUAAAACUCUUGUUUGAAUUUUAUUUUUUUUUUAAAAAGAUUUUUAAACAGUAUAUUGAUAAAAAAUAUAUAAUUAAAAUAUAAAAAAAAAUUUUAAAUUUACAUGUAAUAUUGCCCUUGUAUGAGCCCCAUUUUUUGAGAAGAAUGAAUUUUUAAA
rnacentral:lncRNA from 1 species